rnacentral:rRNA from 1 species
UACGUAGGGGGCAAGCGUUGUCCGGAUUUAUUGGGCGUAAAGAGCGUGUAGGCGGUCAGGUAGGUCCGUUGUGAAAACUCGAGGCUCAACCUCGAGACGCCGAUGGAAACCAUCUGACUAGAGUCUGGAAGAGGAGAGUGGAAUUCCUGGUGUAGCGGUGAAAUGCGCAGAUAUCAGGAAGAACACCCGUGGCUAAGGCGGCUCUCUAGUACGGUACUGACGCUGAGACGCGAAAGCGUGGGGAGCGAACAGG